GUUGAACGCUGGCGGCGGGCCUAACACAUGCAAGUCGAGCGAGCGGCGGACGGGGGAGUAAGGGCUGGGAAACUGCCUGAUAGAGGGGGAUAACUACUGGAAACGGUAGCUAAUACCGCAUUCCAUCAAAUUUGCCCAGUUGGGAUUGGCUAGUAGGUGGGGUAAUGGCUCACCUAGGCGACGAUCCCUAACUUGUCUGAGAGGAUGACCAGCCACACUGGAACUGAGACACGGUCCCGACUCCUACGUGAGGCAGCAGUGGGGAAUAUUGCACAAUGGGCGCAAGCCUGAUGCAGCCAUGCCGCGUGUGUGAAGAAGGUCUUCGGGUUGUAAAGCACUUUCAGUGGGGAAGCGUUACCCGAAGAAGAAGCAACGGCUAACUCCGUGCCAGCAGCCGCGGUAAUUC
rnacentral:rRNA from 1 species